rnacentral:snRNA from 1 species
GAUCUUCAGAGCGGGUGUCCCCUUCCUCCCUCAACACUCCGGGGUCCCUCCUGAAACUGCACCCUCUGUCGAAGAGGAUGACCGUCCCUGAUAGAGGAGGACUGAUCUUUGGUAAAGGGUAUAGGAGUAGCUAUGCUGCCUGCUAGAACCUCCAAAAGAGCUCUCAAGAUACAGGUUCAAUGUUCCUUUGGUUGCCCUCUACCACCUCCCUGUAAAAUGCUCCAGUGACCUCACAAAGUUCCUUCUGGGAUUAUUU